AUUGAACGCUGGCGGCAGGCCUAACACAUGCAAGUCGAGCGGAUGAAGGGAGCUUGCUCCUGGAUUCAGCGGCGGACGGGUGAGUAAUGCCUAGGAAUCUGCCUGGUAGUGGGGGAUAACGUCCGGAAACGGGCGCUAAUACCGCAUACGUCCUGAGGGAGAAAGUGGGGGAUCUUCGGACCUCACGCUAUCAGAUGAGCCUAGGUCGGAUUAGCUAGUUGGUGGGGUAAAGGACUACCAAGGCGACGAUCCGUAACUGGUCUGAGAGGAUGAUCAGUCACACUGGAACUGAGACACGGUCCAGACUCCUACGGGAGGCAGCAGUUGGGAAUAUUUGACAAUUGGCGAAAGCCUGAUCCAGCCAUGCCGCGUGUGUGAAGAAGGUCUUCGGAUUGUAAAGCACUUUAAGUUGGGAGGAAGGGCAGUAAGUUAAUACCUUGCUGUUUUGACGUUACCAACAGAAUAAGCACCGGCUAACUUCGUG
rnacentral:rRNA from 1 species